rnacentral:rRNA from 1 species
CAGCAGCCGCGGGAAUACGUAGGUGGCAAGCGUUGUCCGGAAUUAUUGGGCGUAAAGGGCUCGCAGGCGGUUUCUUAAGUCUGAUGUGAAAGCCCCCGGCUCAACCGGGGAGGGUCAUUGGAAACUGGGAAACUUGAGUGCAGAAGAGGAGAGUGGAAUUCCACGUGUAGCGGUGAAAUGCGUAGAGAUGUGGAGGAACACCAGUGGCGAAGGCGACUCUCUGGUCUGUGACUGACGCUGAGGAGCGAAAGCGUGGGGAGCGAACAGGAUUAGAUACCCCCGUAGCCCUGUCUCUUAUACA